CUCAUACACCACUACACAUGCAAAAAUUUUCAGCUUUUACCAAUACAUACACAUUGCUAACGUUUUGUAGUUAAGUGGCAAUCUCGGUAGUUAGAGUAGCAAAAUUCAUUAACCCUAUUUUUUGUAUGUGUAAGAGAGAGAUACAAUGAACCGUUCAAAAAUCGCCGCCAUGGCCACUGUUCAUUUGAAAAUAAAAUUUUAAGUGAAUGGAUUUAUACGUGUGUGCACAGGAAAGGAAGAGCAAGGAGGUGGCGGUGGAAUUGGUGGAGGUUUUUGGAUUUAGCACUGGUGCAAUAUAGUAUAACAACAACGGAGAAACAAUGGAAAAUAACAUGAUAUUGAAAACACAAAGGCGUUAGGCGUCAAUUGGUAAUACCAAGUGUAACCAGGUCGCUCUCAACCUGGUCCCUCCAACGGAGUGGAGGCCUUCCCCUUCCUCGGCUUCCUCUGGUGUGUACUGCAUCGAACACUUUCAGGGCUGUAGUGUUUUCGUCCAUUCUGACAACAUGACCUAGCCAGCGUAGCCGCAGUCUUUUUAUUCGCUGAACUAUGUCAAUGUCGUCGUAUAACUCGUACAGCUCAUCAUUUCAUCUUAUGCGGUAUUCGCCGUUGCCAAUGUUUAAGGGACCAUAAAACCGCAAAACCUUUCUCUCGAAAACUCCUAGUGCCGUCUCAUCGGAUGUUGACACCGUCCACGCUUCCGCACCAUAAAGUAGGACGGGAAUGAUGAGGGACUUGUAGAGUUUAGUUUUUGCUCAUCGAUAGAGGACUUUACUUUUCAAUUGCCUACUCAGACCAUAAACACAAAUACUUUGUACAAAUGGAGGAUUACAAUAGCUACAAUUUUUUUAGGCAUGAUAAACAAGAUAACAACAAAUCCCAUCGGACAUUUAGAUUAGCAGUUGCACAACCUCUUUCCGACGAGCUGAACCUUUUUAUGAUGUACAUAUGGGAUAGGAGUGUGUGGAAUUGACAUCAAACAAUAUUGGUUGAUUAGUUUCGUUGGAUCCUUACAGAAUAGUUAUAAGGAAAUCGUUCGAGUUUAGUACUAAUGUAUUCAUUUGCUAAUUCAUAAUUUAAAUGUAAAAUAUUAUUAAAUUAUACAAAUGAAUGUUCGAAUACUAAUAACAUUCGUAAUAGUAAUGGAAUUUUAUUUGAGUUGUAUAACAACAACUACAAAAAAUAAAAAUGUAAUAAUCAAUACUAAAUUUAUAUAUGAAAUAUGUAAAAAGUAAAAAUUUAAUAAUUAAUACUAACUUUAUUUUUAAAAUAUAUAAAUUUUGUCAAUGUAUAAAUAUAAAUGUAUAAAUAGCUGCAAAAACGU